rnacentral:rRNA from 1 species
GAUGAACGCUGGCGGCGUGCCUAAUACAUGCAAGUCGAGCGAACAGACGAGGAGCUUGCUCCUCUGACGUUAGCGGCGGACGGGUGAGUAACACGUGGAUAACCUACCUAUAAGACUGGGAUAACUUCGGGAAACCGGAGCUAAUACCGGAUAAUAUAUUGAACCGCAUGGUUCAAUAGUGAAAGACGGUUUUGCUGUCACUUAUAGAUGGAUCCGCGCCGCAUUAGUUAGUUGGUAAGGUAACGGCUUACCAAGGCAACGAUGCGUAGCCGACCUGAGAGGGUGAUCGGCCACACUGGAACUGAGACACGGUCCAGACUCCUACGGGAGGCAGCAGUAGGGAAUCUUCCGCAAUGGGCGAAAGCUUGACGGAGCAACGCCGCGUGAGUGAUGAAGGUCUUCGGAUCGUAAAACUCUGUUAUUAGGGAAGAACAAAUGUGUAAGUAACUAUGCACGUCUUGACGGUACCUAAUCAGAAAGCCACGGCUAACUACGUG